rnacentral:rRNA from 1 species
GACGUAGGGUGCGAGCGUUGUCCGGAAUUAUUGGGCGUAAAGAGCUUGUAGGCGGUUUGUCGCGUCUGCCGUGAAAAUUCGAGGCUCAACCUCGAACUUGCGGUGGGUACGGGCAGACUAGAGUGUGGUAGGGGAGACUGGAAUUCCCGGUGUAGCGGUGAAAUGCGCAGAUAUCAGGAGGAACACCGAUGGCGAAGGCAGGUCUCUGGGCCACUACUGACGCUGAGAAGCGAAAGCAUGGGGAGCGAACAGG